GAGUCACAUAUUCAAGAUAGGAGAAGGUCUAGAUCGACCCUGGGAACGAGGCUAUGUGCCGAUAGCGUUGGCAUAUAGUGGAUCACUGGCUAUUUUGUCCCCGUGCCGUUUGAGAAGCCUCGCUUGUUGUUGGAUUUACGUGAGCCCAGUUUUAAUAUUAAACAGGGCUUCCCCUAACAUGACCACACAGUUCAGCUCAUGGGUGGAUCUUUGUGGUUAUAGGGUCCAUUUAUGGACAGUAUGCUACACUCAUGAUCUAGCAUCAAGGAGGUGGUUUCUGCUCUAAGACCUUUUUAUAUCAUCACCACUUGUCAUAGUUAUCACCAGCCCAGAUGAUGUUGGGCCACAGGUAACUCGCUGGUCAACUUGGUUCAGGUUUAUAAGUUGACCAGACUUUAACUUUGAUUUUCUUUGUGCAUUAAUUUUUCAUUUAUUCAGUCAUUUCUUUUUUUCUUUUCUUUGUUAUAUUUCAUCUGGUGGGUAAACAAGGUAACAAACUUCCCAUAUAUUCUUCUACUUUGUCUCUUUGUAUGCUCAUCUAAGUUCGAUCAAUGAUACACAAAUUUUGUUCCUGUAUCAACAUAAGGCAAGCCCUACUCCUUAUUGCAUAUUGUUUCCCUUUCUCUCUUGACGUGCAAAUUCGUCCUGACAAAUUUGGCAAGGACGUUGCUAAUACGUACUCUUUUGGCAACAUAAAGCGAGCCCCUAUAUGUCUCUCGAACCAGUUCUGUCCCCUUAUCCAAAUAUUUUCUGUAAGAAAUGGCACAAUUCCCGUUUAGAAAACAAGAAAGAGUCUACUGACGCACCUAUCAACUGAUUAAACAAAAAUGCCGACAUGUACUGUAGUGACCGUACAUCAAAUUGCACAGCUCAAAGCUGAUAGGAACAGGAACAUUUCCGAAGGUUGCACAAAUCAAAGAAAUCUGCAAGAUUACUACGAACACUUAGUCAAUACGUUAAUGCCAUUUUAUAAUUAAAAGAACUAUGAAAUUGGCAUAAUGUUAUAACACUUAAAAGGUCUCUUGAAUGCAUAAGAGAACGCGAGCCAGGAAUACAUUUCAAGGCUCUUCUUUACAGGACAGAUAGUAUUUUUGUUUCUGGCAGUCGUAAUACCCAACACCAUAAAACAGUAACUAUAUCUAGAAACAAACAGGUAAUUAUAUAUUUGCAGCUUUAUAUUUUCUGGCAGCAGAUAAUGAUGUCUACAUAGCAUUCCAGUCACCAUUGCUAAUUUUUACCAGCUGCCGUGGUACAGUGGUUAGGAUGAUCGCUUUCUACGCUGAGACUGGGAGGUGACACACGGUUCGAAUCCUGUCACCGGCUGUGCUCUCUGAGGUUUUCCCUGGGUUUUCCGAAGACUUUCCAGACGAACGUCGGCACAGUUCCCCCUGAAGUCGGCCCAGGACGCAUACUAACCCCCCCUGUCCCCCACUCCUUCCUGCUGUCCUCUCUCCAUCUGUCCACGUCUGUAUGCCGCUCGUAGCCACAGUUGCUUCGUGGCACUGACACGUAAUUUAAAACAAAUUGCUAAUUUUCUGGCAAUAAAACUGCAGUGCAAAUUCUGUUGUAACUGUUCUGACGAUAUAGCACCCAUUGUCCUAAAAGAACAUACAGCCUCGAGAUCAUGGCCGUCAUUAUAAAGUUUAGCAUUAUUUUGACUUAUAUACUUAUUUCUAGGAUGAAACAACAUUGUGUCGUUUUCUUAAAAUUAAGCCUUAAGCAGUUACAAGCUGACCACAUUUUUAAGCUUUUUAAAAGAGUGUGGUUUGGCAGUCUCUGAAGCUCUAUAUCUGAUGGCCCAGAUAAAAGUUGUGUAGUGUCAUCUGCAUAUAUGAUAAAGUUUAAUUUUAGUGUGCUAGAUUCUAUUGGAGAAAUAUUUACGAUGUCAAUUAUGUUCAAGUUGAAAAGUAAAGAUCCUGAAAUACUGCCCUGGGGAACACCUGGUUCCACACAGGCAAAAUCAGAUGUAACAUUAUCUAUAACGACAGCUUGCUCUGUGAAUGAUAAAUAAGUCCCAUUAGGUCUAGUGCAUCUCUGCAAAUUCCAUACCAUUCUAAUUUGUUGGUCAAUAUUUGAUAGUUUAAGCUAUCAUGCUUUGUGGUUAUCUAUGUAGUUUGCUGAUGUUAGGCACUUUUUUUUAAUAUAAUGCUUUGUAAUUUCGUUCAGUCUUGAUAGAGCUGUCUCUGUAGACUUAUUCUUUUGAAGGCCAAACUGCUGGUUAGUUACUAUUUGAUGUUUAUCUAAAAAUUUCUGCAGUCUGGUGUGAAUAAGCCUCUCAAGACCUUUUGAAAAUACAGGAACAAUUGAUAUUCGUCUAUAAUUUUCGCCAGGCCGCGGCACCAUAAUGAAGACUUCUAAUCUUCCACUGGUCUAUGUACAGGUCUUACCGUUCUACCAUGCUCAAGUCAGCUUGUCACUACCAGCUGCACAAGAACUUUUUCUGCUACCAGUUGAAUAGGCAUCUUCUAUGUUGGCUGGGCAUGAGUCGUGGAUCCUGUUUCCCGCUUUAUAUAUGCAAACCACAUGGGAUUCUACGUCAUCUACAGUAGCGUCACUCUUCGUUGCUAAGCCCGCGAAUUUUGACGCAUAGAGUAGUGGGAUAGGCCGCCGCACCAUAAUGAAGAUUUCUAAUGUUCCACUGAUCUACGUACAGGUUUUGUCCCUCAAGCAGCCCUUCCAACGCGGGAAAUCUGUCUUCUCUCUUACCAGAAGCCUCCGCUAUCCUCUUCCUUUGUCUCUAUCAUGGGCACUAAGUGUGCUGGUCUUUGGUUUAAUGAAGUCUUCGUCUCUACAGAAGCAGGUCUGCACAGAAAUGAAAAUUUCUUAGGCUUGUAAAUUUAUUCCAUUAUUUAGUGUAUAUACAUAUAUGAUGUGUGAAUAGUGCACCAACAAAAUUUUCGUUAAGCCCUCCACAUUCUUGGAAAUUCCUGUAACGGUUUUCUGUUCGGUGACAAACGUAUCCAACGUCUUUGAUCAUAGUAACAAAUUUUCGGUACCACAGUUGCUCACACACAGUCUACUUUACUCCAUCUACUGUGCAGUCUGAUUUUCAUGCCAGGCAGGGAGUGCCAUAGCCAUAGCAUAGUUUCCCCAGAUUGUGUUCUGUAUGUGCAUCUAUGUGAUAACAUCCUGGCUACCUGCAGCAAUUGGCUCUGUGCAACAGACAAAAGCACCACUGCUGCUGUCUUUGAGGAGCAGUACGUGUUGCUCCUUCGUUUUAAGUUUGCAUUUUUCUUUCCUUUCCCAUUUCACUCUGAACCAUGCUCUGAACUACCCAGCCACAGGCUCUGCAGUCUGCAUCACUUGUUCUGGAUUCAACUGUGUUUUGUUCAAGCGAACAUUUAUUUAUUUAUUCUAUGGAACGAAUGUGUGAAUUAUUCAUACUGUUUGGCACAAACAACUACAGAUUUUUGUAGCACGCUAUCGUAUGUCAUCCGUUUAGAUUUGUUGUCAUAUCUUCUCUGUUUGAGUGAUGUAGUAAAACACUUGUAGUUCAUGGCUUACAUUUCGCUGAGCCUAAGCAGGAAAUAUCCAAUCAUGGUGCAACCAGCCUCUACCAAACAGUUUCAAGCUUUGUUUCAGGGCUCUUUCUUCUUCUGUUUUUCGAGAUGUCUGUGUUUCGGGACUUGAGCUCAUAUAAUAGUGUCAUUUUUGGAACACAUAGAAUAGCAUCUUUUGCAUUACUUCUGUUGUCCUCAUGUUGAUACUAAAGGACAUGUCUUGCCUUCUUUCUUCCAUUGCCAACCCAGUUCCUGCUUUCCUGCUUUCUUUUUUUUUCUUCUUCAGGGCCAAUGUUACCUACGGAAUACUUAUCACUGUCUUUCACAUUCAGUGUAACAUGCUUGCUUUUCCUAAUCUUGGUGUGUGUUUUUUGUGUAUGUGUGUUAAUGUUUGUGUGUCACCUGCUGGCUGUGUCCUCAUUGCUAUUCCUGAAAAGUACACAGGCAUGAGGCAGGCAUGCUAUGAUGUUGUCUGUGUCUCCAAUACUAUAUCUCAGGGCUGCUUCUGAACCAGCCAGGCUUCCUGCAUUGUUUGCUGUAUAUAUUUGUCACUAUCAGUGAAUGCUACACAAAAAUCAAGAAUGCUUGCUUAGGUUUUGGAAUCUACCAUGCAGUGAGGAUCUCUUCCCCGGUGGGUUUCCUUACUGUGGGAACAAGCUGCCACCGCUCCAUUUUACCAGCAUUGGGGUGUUCAGCCAGUCACAGCGUGGUGUGCUCAUGAUCACUGAUAUGAUAUUUGACAUCGUUAUCAGGUAUAGCUACUGUGUCAUUAUCAGGCUGUGGGGUAUUCUCUUCUACAGAGUGUCUUGUCUGUCGUGAAAUGUUGUCUUGAACUUAUUCCAAAAUAUGUUUACAUUAAAUUUUGUUAUUUCAGACUUUAGCAAUUUUUCUUCUUCCUCUUGUGGAGCACUGAAUGUUCUCUUUGCCCCUUGCCCUUGUAUACAUGCCCUCUUUUGCAUCUUCUGUUUUAGAAGUGAUAAACUGGUGAUGUUGGCCCUACAACUCUCUCACCAACUCCCCUUUAUGUGGUCCAUUCAGUUUCUCGAAUGAGGUUUGAGAUUUGCAUCCUGAGAACUUUCUGUUGUUCUACUAUAGUGUCCCAUUGUGCUACAAACAAAUAUAUCUCACAACUUGUCUCAGAGUUGUCUCCCCAUCUUCAGCCAUGAUUGAGGACGUAUUGCUGAAGGUGAAAUGCAGGUCCACCUUAGAGAUGGACAAACAUCUGGUUGCGAUGUGCUUGCGUUGUGCUUCUGAAGGUUCUCUUUGCCGAUCCUGGUCAUGGCACCAUGUUGACAAACUGGGAGACAUUGAGAUGAGAAUAUUUUAUUCAUGUGAACAAAGAGCCAGGGAGACGUGAUACCAGAUCAUUGUUGUUUUGUCUAGAUUGAAGCACUCGUAAUCACCUCCCCUGACAUUUUGUCAGCUCGGGAAUAGAAAAUUACAACUGUGUGAAUAUUCAAUAUUUUGAAUACAAAUUGAAUAUUUCAUACUAUUCACAACCUCUUUUCAGUAUCCGAAAAUUUCGAAUAUUUUUUUAACAGUAAUGAAAUGAGAUUUGGCUGUGACCAUUCUGCAAGUGGGCUUUGUCUCAUUACAUAUAAGAUUUACGUGAAGCCCACUUCAAGAUACUACCAUUUUUUGUGUGUGUUUUCAUUCUGCAAGUCAGCUUCACAUGAUUACACGCAUGAUUUAGGUGAAGCACACUUUACAAUGAUCACAAUUUUCUGUUUCUAAAGUAUACCACAUUUUUUUAGUUUAUGGUCAACACUGUAAUCUAGGAACUGCUUAUUGCAGUAAAUGUACUCCCAACUUUAUGUUAUGUUAUGUUCACUAACAGGUGGAAAUAUGUGCAGCUUCUAAAAAGAAAAAGUACAGAAAAUUUGCAAUGUUAGCAUAUAAAUGAGCACACACAAUGAAAUGCACACAAUGCAAGCAAUGAGAUGCACACAAAGCAGGCUGCAUGGACCAUGUUGACUAAGUCUCAGUGGAGUUCAUCUCACUAAUGCAUUAAACCAUUACCAACACAGAGAUAAACUUCUGUCACGCUAUGUUAUUCUAGGUGGAAAGGCUAACGCUUUUUGAGCAGAACAUCAUCGAAUGAACAAAACCCCACAAAAUAUUUCACUAUGAGGUAUCCGAAAUUAUCCAAAUUUGAUUCACGUUCUGAAAGAAAUAAUUUGAAUUAGAUUUGCCAUCUGAAGAAAUUAUUCGAAUUUGUUUUGCAAUAAAGUUGCUAUAAAAAAUCUGAUGUUUCUGCAUAUGUGGAAGAAUAUAACAAACAUUUGCAAUGUUUGCCUUGUUCACAAUAUCGAAUAAGCAACAUAUUCCCUUCAUUGAUGCAGUUACAAGCACACUUUAUCCAAGCAAAUGUGCCUUAUCAAUAUUAUAUUCAUUGAGGAGUCAUGCCCAGUAUGCAUAGCCUUUUGCAGAAGCCUGUCAUCCAUCUGCUGCAUAGCUUCCUGGGACUCGUUAUUUGGAAUAUCCAGAGAACAUUCGUAGAACCUCCUGAAGGUUGUAAACCUACAACAGCGUGCACCGUUCCUGCUUUUUGGAGAUGCCACAUUGAUUUGUGUCUCAGCUUCUAUCAGCUCCUGCUUUCAGCUUAGCUCAGUUUAUUUUUACAAGCACUUUUUGAUGUCACCUUGUUUUUUUCACCUUUUCUGCACCUUCAUGGUGUGUGGAGCCCCCUCGAUCGUCAGCACCAGCAGGGGAUCCCUAACAAAGGGGAGUAAAUGUCAGCACCAAUGGAGUGGAAUUCGGU